AAGAAGAGGGUAGAUGAGAGGCGGUGAUGCGGGGGGGGCUGGGGGGGUGCGGACGUAUAGGGUGUGAAGAGCUCGGAGGCGGUUCGGCAAGGCGGGUGUGGAAUCAGCAGGCAGGACGUGGAGGGGGCAUUCGAAACGGCCGGGACUCGAGGACGGUAGGGGAGUGGGGAAGUCCCGGUGUAGCGGUGAAAUGCGCAGAGAUCGGGAGGAACACCAGUGGCGAAGGCGGCACUGUGGGCCGGAACUGACGCUGAGGAGCGAAAGCGUGGGGAGCGAACAGGAUUAGAUACCCCAGUAGUC
rnacentral:rRNA from 1 species